rnacentral:rRNA from 1 species
GACGAACGCUGGCGGCGUGCUUAACACAUGCAAGUCGAACGGAAAGGCCCUGCUUUUGCGGGGUGCUCGAUUGGCGAACGGGUGAGUAACACGUGAGUAACCUGCCCCUGUCUUUGUGAUAACUUCGGGAAACUGGGGCUAAUAUCGGAUAGGAGCUCCUGCUGCACGGUGGUGGUUGGAAAGUUUCGGCGGUGGGGGAUAGACUCGCGGCUUAUCAGCUUGUUGGUGUGGUAGUGGCUGACCAAGGCUUCGACGGGUAGCCGGCCUGAGAGGGUGACCGGGCACAUUGGGACUGAGGUACGGCGCAGACUCCUACGGGAGGCAGCAGUGGGGAAUAUGACACAAUGGGGGGAAGCCUGAGGCGGAGGCGCCGCGUGCGGGAUGCCGGCCUACGAGUUGUAAACCGCUUUCGCAGGUGACGAGGAGUGAGUGACGGUAAUGGGUAAGGAAGCACCGGCUAACUACGUG